rnacentral:rRNA from 1 species
CUCGGAGUUUGGAUCCUGGCUCAGAUUGAACGCUGGCGGAAUGCUUUACACAUGCAAGUCGAACGGUAGAGGGGGCAACCCCUUGAGAGUGGCGAACGGGUGAGUAAUAUAUCGGAACGUGCCCAGUCGUGGGGGAUAACGUAGCGAAAGUUACGCGUAAUACCGCAUACGAUCUAAGGAUGAAAGCGGGGUACUCGCAAGAGCCUCGCGCGAUUGGAGCGGCCGAUAUCGAGA